rnacentral:other from 1 species
AUUUCUCUGAGAUGUUUGUCAGUGGGCGAGUCCCCUGAGCCGAUAUUUCGAAAGAAUAGAAUGUAGUUAUUGCGCUGGUGAGCAUGCUUGAUUCGCUCAAGAAGCCUAAAGGUUUGCUAAACUACGUUCACCUUGAACCAAGGGUUCAAGGGUUACAGCCUACGACGGCAUCUCGGAGAUCCC